AUAAUUACCUGGCAAUGGGAAUACCAUGAACAAGACUGUGGUUUCCCCAUGGCGAAGCUCUUCCAUUCAACUCUUUGGAUGGGUUGACCACUGUGAUUCCUCCAAGUGUGGGAAAUUCAACUGCAUAAUUUAUGGUAGUGGGGAACUGCAUUCAUACAGUCCCCUA